rnacentral:rRNA from 1 species
AGAGUUUGAUCCUGGCUCAGGACGAACGCUGGCGGCGUGCUUAACACAUGCAAGUCGAACGGAAUCCAUGGUGUAGCAAUACAUCGGAAGAUUUAGUGGCGAACGGGUGAGGAUCACGUGAGAAACGUGCCCCAGACUCUGGGAUAACAAUUGGAAACGAUUGCUAAUACCGGAUGACGUCGGAGAAUCGCAUGAUUCACUGACGAAAGAUAUUUCGGUUUGGGAGCGUCUCGCGGCCUAUCAGCUUGUUGGUGGGGUAAUGGCCUACCAAGGCAACGACGGGUAGCUGGUCUGAGAGGAUGAUCAGCCACACUGGGACUGAGACACGGCCCAGACUCCUACGGGAGGCAGCAGUGGGGAAUCUUGCGCAAUGGGCGAAAGCCUGACGCAGCAACGCCGCGUGCGGGAUGAAGGCCUUCGGGCUGUAAACCGCUUUCAGCAGGAACGAAAAUGACGGUACCUGCAGAAGAAGGAGCGGCCAACUACGUGCCAGCAGCCGCGGUGACACGUAGGCUCCAAGCGUUGUCCGGAUUUAUUGGGCGUAAAGAGCUCGUAGGCGGUUGAGUAAGUCGGGUGUGAAAACUCUGGGCUUAACCCGGAGACGCCAUCCGAUACUGCUCUGACUAGAGUUCAGGAGGGGAGUGGGGAAUUCCUAGUGUAGCGGUGAAAUGCGCAGAUAUUAGGAGGAACACCGGUGGCGAAGNCGCCACUCUGGACUGAAACUGACGCUG